GACGAACGCUGGCGGCGUGCUUAACACAUGCGAGUCGUACGGUAAGGCCCUUUCGGGGGUACACGAGUGGCGAACGGGUGAGUAACACGUGAGUAACCUGCCCACAACUUUGGGAUAACGCUAGGAAACUGGUGCUAAUACUGGAUAUGUGCUCCUGCUGCAUGGUGGGGGUUGGAAAGCUCCGGCGGUUGUGGAUGGACUCGCGGCCUAUCAGCUUGUUGGUGGGGUAGUGGCCUACCAAGGCGGCGACGGGUAGCCGGCCUGAGAGGGUGACCGGCCACAUUGGGACUGAGAUACGGCCCAGACUCCUACGGGAGGCAGCAGUGGGGAAUAUUGCACAAUGGGCGCAAGCCUGAUGCAGCAACGCCGCGUGCGGGAUAACGGCCUUCGGGUUGUAAACCGCUUUCAGCAGGGACGAAGCUUUUUGUGACGGUACCUGCAGAAGAAGCACCGGCUAACUACGUG
rnacentral:rRNA from 1 species